UCAAGUGGAGCAGGGAGAGGGGGAGCACAUCCACCUGGCAGAGGGAGUGUGUGUAAAAGUCCUGAGCAGGUGUGGCCACGGUGCUUGGCCAGCCAAGAGCGGUAAGUGAGUGGGAAAGACCUGCAAAGGAAAACAGAAGGAAAAGGCAAUCCUCAAACAACUGCCUUCUGCACGACCUUCACACCAGACCAGAGGUUGCUACACCCCAACUGCAGUACUUGUAUUUCAAUGACUCAGGGAAAGCAACAAACUUAACCUGAGAAGAUUCCACUUCUGUGUUAGUACCUCUUUGUUUUAGUUCUCUUCACAGCAGCCUGGGCUCCAAAGGAUACCAGGAACAUACUUCAUCUUUCCUGCAUGAAAGCUUGAUGGACACAAGGGGACCCAUUAUGAUUCUGUUCUCUGUCAAGACUGCUAUGAUGACAACUGAUCUCUAAGACCUUUUGCUGCUCAGUCUCUGGAAAGAUAUCAAAGUCUCAAACUGCCCCAGACAGAAGGAGCUCCUCAUAAGGAGAAAAUAGAAAGAGUGCUGGUUCUGGAAAUUCAUUGGGUGGGUGCUGUAGGGAAGGCAUCCAACUAUUAUGAGGCAUAUCUUGUUCAUAUAUUAAAUUGAAAUAAAACAUAAGGAAAGCUGUUGUGGUGAUUGUGUGUAAGAUGUUUUACACAAAUGAAGCACUGAUGUAUUCUACAGCCUAGAUGAGCAUUGAGGACAUCAUUGUAAGUGAAAGAAACCUGUCCCAAAAGGCCAUAUACUAUAUUAUUCAAUGAUAUGAAAGUCCAGAACAAAGAAAUCUUUAGAAAGCAGAUCACUGGUAUCUUAGGGUUGGACAGUGGGGAUAACUAAAGGAUGCAUUUGCUAAAAGCAUUCUAAAAUUGAGUAAUGGUUGCACAUAUCAAGAAUGCAAUAAAACUAAUGAAUUGUACAUUUCUAU
rnacentral:lncRNA from 1 species